rnacentral:lncRNA from 1 species
GUCCCCUGCUCCUGUCACUCACCCGGGACUCCGCCUCCGCCGCCGUCGCUGUUGUUGACCUGGGAAGAGACAGAGAGAGACGCGGUUACUGCUACUGCGGGACCCCGGCCGUCGGUGUUGUUUAUCCACCGUUAUUAUUAUUGUUGCCCUGAUAUUAUUAUUAUUGACCCCGACCCCGGCCGUCGGUGUUGUUGACCCGAGCGGUUAUUAUUAUUGUUACUGCCGUCGCUGCUGUUCACCCGCCGUUAUUGUCACUGCUGUUGCGGCCUCGUUAUUAUUAUUAAUAUUGACCCCCGGCCGUCGGUGUUGUUGACCCCGCACUGUUAUUAUUACUGUUGCCGCCGUCGGUGUUGUUUUCCCGCCACCGCCGUCAUUAUUAUUAUUAUUAUUGACCCCGCCGUCGGUGUCGUUGACCCCGCGAUGUGUUAUUAUUAUCGCCGAGGCCGUCGUUGUUGGUUUUUUUUACCGGGGGCGGAAACAACAAACCCCGGGGACGGGGCGGGGCCUAAGGGACCGGAAAACAACAGCGACGGCCAAAGAAGAAAAGUGAGUAACAGUAACGGGGAAACAACACCGACGGCGGCGACAGAAACAAUAAUAAUAAUAAUAACAACCGGCCGUGAGCAACACCGACGGCGCCGCCGGAGACGGGAAAACAACAGCGACGGCCCCGCCGGAAACGUAACAGUAACAGAAAAACAACAACGACCACGACAAUAACAAUAACGGCAGCAAAAACCCGGGAACAACAAAUAAUAAUAAUAAUAAACAAAAACCGACCGUAAACAACACCGACGGCGUCAGUAACAACAAAACAACACCGACGGCCGCGCCCGAAACAUAACAGUAACAAAAACAACAACAACGACGAUAACGACACAGCAGCAAAAACAGAAACAACACCGACGGCCGCGCCCGAAACAUAACAGUAACAAAACAACAACGACGACGACAAUAACAAUAAUAACGACACAGCAGCAAAACACAAACAAUAACGACGGCGUCAGUAAUAAUAAUAACAACGCUGAUGACGCCGGUGACGGAGUCGCUGCGACGCCUCAAACAACACCGACGGCGUCAGUAACAAUAACGGCACCGCCGCCCGGGCCGCCAAAAAAACAACAACAACAACAGUAACAGUAACGAAAACAACACCGACGGCGUCAAUAAUAAUAACCAAACCCGGAAACAACCCGGCGGCCCCGCCCCCUCCCCGGGGCCGCGGUGACCCCGCCG